CAGGCCUAACACAUGCAAGUCGAGGGUGUAGAAGUCUUCGGACAUUGAGACCGGCGCACGGGUGCGUAACGCGUAUGCAAUCUGCCUUUCACAGAGGGAUAGCCCAGAGAAAUUUGGAUUAAUACCUCAUAGCAUGGCAAAGCCGCAUGGUUUAGCUAUUAAAGUCACAACGGUGAAAGAUGAGCAUGCGUCCCAUUAGUUAGUUGGUAAGGUAACGGCUUACCAAGACCGCGAUGGGUAGGGGUCCUGAGAGGGAGAUCCCCCACACUGGUACUGAGACACGGACCAGACUCCUACGGGAGGCAGCAGUGAGGAAUAUUGGUCAAUGGGCGCAAGCCUGAACCAGCCAUGCCGCGUGCAGGAUGACGGUCCUAUGGAUUGUAAACUGCUUUUGUACGAGAAGAAACACUGAUUCGUGAAUCAGCUUGACGGUAUCGUAAGAAUAAGGAUCGGCUAACUCCGUGCCAGCAGCCGCGGUAAU
rnacentral:rRNA from 1 species